GGACCCCAGCUAGCUGGUCUCUGAAUAAAUUCCUCUUGCUUGUUGCAUCAAGAAACGCCUUCUGUGAGUGAUUUGGGGCGGCGCUCUCCUCUGAGAGAAUCCAACAUUUGGGGGCUCGUCCGGGAUCGCGUGCCCCCCCCCCCCGGAGGAACGACAAGCCAAGGAUCGGAGGCUUGCCCUGGCCAGCUUUUUUCCCCUCCUGAAGAUGAAAGCAGAAGAAUCUACCAUCUGCUACCAUUCUCUCAAGAAUGCUUGAAAUAUCAGAAUUUCCUUAUGUCAACUGUCUUACAGUAAGCUCUCAUCAGAUUCUUAACCAUUGUCAUUUGUGCAGAGACCUCAAGAAGAGAGAGAAAGGAUCCUCCUGGAAGCAUGAAAGAACGUGCCUAGAACUGAUAGACGACCAUCGCGACUCCCUCAUGAUAUAGAGAGGGGGUUCCCGCUGACCAGACCCAACUGGGACUUUAAUUCUCCAGAAAGUAGAGAGCGACUAACCAUCUAUCGCCAGGCUCUAGUGGCGAGUCUCUGCGGAGCCGCGAGGCGCCCCACUAAUUUAGCCAAAGUUACGGGCCCUAGAAGUUGUACAGAGAGAAGUGUGGGCCUCCGUCCGGGAAGCCUAUCGGCCAGAAGACCUCUCAGUGCCCCAUCAAUUCCAGGUGAGAGACUCUGUCUACGUGAGACGACAACGAACGAGAAAUCUUGAGCCUCUGUGGAAAAGACCCUUUAUCAUCCUCCUGACCACCCCCACAGCCGUGAAAGUAGAUGGCAUCUCCUCCUGGGUACACGCAUUACAUCUGAAGAAAGCGCACCAGCUAGACCCGGAUUGGCGAGUAACUCGGAUUGAUAACCCAUUUAAGCUUCGCUUGUGCAGAAAAAAACACUCUAUCAGUGAAUUUGAACCCAGACGGAGAUAUAGAAGAGAACCAGUUUCGCUGACUCUAGCUGUGCUAUUGAGAGUAAGAGUUGCAGCUAAAGUAGGAACGGGGACAGCCGCUAUUAUCCAAGAGAAUCAGCAUUAUGAGAGAUUAAGAGCAGCUAUUGAUGAAGAUUUAAAAACCAUAGAACAAUCCAUUACCAAACUUGAAGAAUCCUUAACCUCUCUUUCUGAAGUAGUCCUGCAAAACAGGCGAGGAUUAGAUCUACUGUUCUUAAAAGAAGGAAGAUUGUGUGCAGCCCUGAGAGAAGAAUGCUGCUUCUAUGCAGACCAUUCUAGAAUAGCAAGAGAUUCAAUGUCUAAACUCAGAGAAAAACUAGAUCAAAAAAAGAGAGAGCGAGAAGCCAGCUAAGAGCUAUUUGAGUCCUAGUUUACUAGAUCUCCGUGGCUUACAACCUUGAUAUCCACCUUGACUGGGCCUUUACUUAUUCUUAUAUUACUCCUCACUUUAAGACCCUGUAUACUAAAUCAGCUGAUAACUUUUGUUAGAGAAAGAGUGAGUACCGUUCAAGUGCUAAUGUUGAAGCAACAAUAUCAUUCACUCACACAACAAGAAAACACAAGCAUUCCAUGAUUGGAAUGCUCCUUAGAAAAGAAGUGGGAAAUGUAGAACCCUUCACUAAGAAUCAACCUUAUUGAAGAUAGAAAGUUAGCAUAAGUAUAGCCUUCUUAAAAGCUUAGACACUAUUUUCUAACCUAGAAGGAAGAAAAUAGGAAAAUAUUAGAACCUUGAAAAACAAGUUAGUCAGUCAGUGUUGAUUGCAAUGACCUUUAGUUAGCUAACCUCAAUCAGUUAAUCAUACAUACCAAGCUUACCUUACUAAGAACCACCCUAACAUUCCGAGGGUGAUCUUAUCUCACCAGACCCCCAGGAUGUGGCGUCAGCCAAAAUGUAUGUGUUUUUUAGAAAAACAAUGUGAUGUGCUUGUAGAAAAAUACUGCCCUUUUUGAAAAUGCUAUAAAAACCUCUGACUCUAAGUGCUCGGGGUCCUUGUUGAGACCCGCUGCGUCGGGCUGACACUUAGACCCCAGCUAGCUGGUCUCUGAAUAAAUUCCUCUUGCUUGUUGCAUCAAGAAACGCCUUCUGUGAGUGAUUUGAGGCGGCGCUCUCCUCUGAGAGAAUCCAACAAUGGGGUGUGUGUGUGGGACUUGAUGAUGGGGGGAA